rnacentral:rRNA from 1 species
UGUAAUCGAUGAUCCACGAUAUUACCUGACCACUUCUUGCUAAAANCAGCCUACAUGCCCCCGUCGCCAGCUCACCUUUACUGAGAGCCCAACAGUGGACGCAAUAGCCCNAACCACGCUAAUAAGACAGGUCAAGGUAUAGCCUAUGGAGUGGA